rnacentral:rRNA from 1 species
CGUGUAGGCGGUUUAUUAAGUCAGAUGUGAAAGCCCACGGCUUAACCGUGGAACUGCAUUUGAUACUGAUAGGCUUGAGUAUGAGAAGGGGUAGUGGAAUUCCCAGUGUAGCGGUGAAAUGCGUAGAUAUUGGGAAGAACACCAGUAGCGAAGGCGACUACCUGGCUCAUUACUGACGCUAAUGCGCGAAAGCGGCGGGGAGCAAACA